AGCCUUACUGAGAGCUAGUUUCUAAGAGUGACGUCAUUUCCAUUUUAAAAUUCCUAACCUCAGUACUUGUUAAAGGCGCACUCACAAAUCCAAUUUUUCCCUGUCCUACCGGGACUUUUCUGAGAGGGUACGUGUUAGACACCUGCUGUUUAGAAGGAAUGGGUAAGUUCUUAAUGUCCUUUUUACAUUGUUCUAAUUCUUUUCUUAAAUUUGAGCAAGGAUUUAAGGGAGCACUGGGUUUAUCUCCUUCAUGACCCCCAGAUUCCUUUUCCUCCAACCUUCCUGUUGCCCCCUGAUCUCCUUGUCCUCUACUUUGUGAGAUGUAUGGGCAGAGGGCAAGCGUGUUAGGGGAUCCCAGGGCUUUUCAUUGGUUGAGGGCUCUUUACUAUGCUCGUUUUAUUUCUCUUUAAGGGGAAACAUGGGGUUAAUUCACUAAUCCAACAAAUAGCAUAAACCAUCACCUCUUGUGAGGAUGGGGUUUUAUCAUUCACAUAAAGAAUUAAAGCAUGGCAUACACAGUCCUUAUUUGAGAUAAACUUAGGCCAAAAGACCAAAGGCUGAUGAAUGGGCUCUUUAGCCUGGAGAAAACAGCAAUACUUUAUUAUUUUUUGUUUUUCUUUAUUCCUGGUUCGGGGGUUAUUCCCCCCAAGCCUGUAACAUCCUCUCCAGUGGACUAUCUGGGGGUAUGCUGGAGGGGACCUCCUCGGCUUCCUCCUCUCUUUGUUCCCUAGUCCUAGAAUUCAGUUGCUCCCUGAGUCUGAGUUUCCCUAUAUGUUCAACCCCCCUUAUUGGAGGUGUCUUCGCAACAGGCAAGUCAACUGCUCUGUAACUGCUUUGUCUAUCUCCGGCCUUUUCCUUCCUGAGAGAACAGAACCAUGGAUUGGGUCUCCACACUCGCUUCAUAUCUAGGAUACGUCUCAGUCACACACACUUGACCUCCCAUGAUGCCCAACCACCAAGGCAGUGCUCAUAGUCCAAUCUUCCUACCUGGGCUUAUGCACAAGUUUGCCUGGUUGCCGCGGUGCCUACUUUUCUGUUUUUCCCUGUGUCACUUUUGUUGUCUUCUAAAUAACAGUUUCAAGUUUGUCUAUGGCUUCUGUGGGGAGCUGGGACAUCUGGACAGAAUGGGCCACAUGAAUCCAGUGGUACGCUUUUCCUCUUUCUGCCAAAAUCUCACUUCACUGCAAGCACAGUGAUCCCCGUACAGGCUACUAGAUUGUAAGAAACAAACUCACCCAUCCAAACCCCCAAAAAUGGACUCAGAGACACAGAGAACAGUGAAAGUGAGACUUUUAGUGACAGUUUUGCGAUAUCGGGUGUCUGGAAUGCAGGCACACCAGGGACGGUUUCAACAAACAAUUUAUUCCCUAGUGCCCACAUCCCUCCCCCAGUUCCUCAUUAGCUGAGUACUAUGGGGUUACAGUCUUUCUGGAUGUUGCCUAUUGUAGUUUGAUUAAGGCUUCCAUUAUGUACUUUAGAGUCUUUUUGCUGCAUUUUGUUGCAGCCCAUUAAUGCAUUGCGAUUGUCUCAGGACUCCUGAAACAUGUGACUUAUGGCCCUAAUGGUUGCACUUAGAUGAUAAGAAAGGGUACAAUUAUCUACUGUUGCAAGCUAGCCUAAACUAAAUUCUUUGGUGAGGUGGGGAGGGGGUCGUCGAGGGGGCCCCAACCAAUCAGGCACCUGGCUGGUGCAUGAAAAGGAAAGCAGGAAGGAGCUGGGGGAUGGCUUAGUACAUUUUGCUUUUUUAUCUCUUUAUGUCCAUGUGUCUCUUUAUGUCCAUGUUAAACCUAUACUAAGGCACAUAGAAUUGAAAAUGAACCAUCAUAUGUAGCUUAUUUUUGACACCCUUAAGAUCUGCCCAAGCCAAGGCUGGGCCAAGGCCCUCGAACAUCCAGCUGUGGCCUCCUCCUGCUGCAGGUGAGGAGUGGGCAGCAGGGAGGGCCAUGGUACCUGUUCUGUCCCCAUUCCAGUCUCUGUCUCUCAGGCUGACCAGGGUGCAUCUAGGUGGGUAUGUUGGGAUUGCAUGCUGAUUGCUGAGAGCCUGAAUGAUCAUAAUCUCAGAGGGAGCCAAUAGUAAAGGCAGCUGUGAUCUGGUGAGGGGUUAGAAACUAGAAAGGAAUCUGAGGAGAGGCAGAGCUUCUGAUCCCUUCCUAUCUGCAUCCCUCUCCCCUGUUUCUCCAGUCAUCAGGAGGACACCAAGAAAAAGACCCAUGAGACACAGACUGAGGGCCCAUGCUUGUAGUUCCCUUUGUGGGCUCCCUUGUAACAGGGAGGGUCCUGAGUGCACAUGGACCAUCCUCUGUCCACUUUGCAGCUCCCCAUUCGCCUUAUCCAGGAGCUUUCUUGGGGGUGUCAUGUCCUCUGGGUCACUCGAGGCCGUGCUUUUGCCAGGUUCCCACCAUGUGGCUCCUAUCUCCCUGUGUUUCUGUGCAGAUGAUGUGGAUGAGUAGAUAAGCAGAUGUCCCUGGGCUAUUUGGGGAGUGGGGACCAGCACCCUGCCAGGGCAGCUGUGGUCCCUGUUUUCAUCCUAUGUCCAGGUAUUACUUUUGCUAGCCCCCAAGGGUCAUAGUCCCCAGGAGCUGUGUUUCUGGGGCUUUGUUCCAUGCUCUGUGGCCUCACCUUGCCUUUCCUGAGCCAAUUUUUUCUUCUUAACUUAGUCGUUGUCUGGUAAGUUUAAAAUAGGAGACAGUCAGAAUUGUUUCCCCCACAAUCAGGUUGUUUGAAGGGAGAGGAAAAGAGAAAGCAGAAAGUUUUGUGUUUCUGCAAAGACAGAGGCAGUGCAGGGGACAGUGAGAGGCUGGGGUGUCCAGGAACCCCAAGCCUUUCUGCCAUUUCCCCAUUUCUGUGUGUCUGGUCAGUGAGGUGGUGGUGACUCAUCCUUGAACCGAAUUGCACUGUUAGUUGGCCCCUCAGGCCUUGGUAGAUGGGAAGGUUUAUCCCCUGUCCAGCAGGAAGAGGGCCCCAUCCAGGAGCCACCACAGCAGGGGCAGUGCAGGUCUGUGGUUGCUCCUGCUCUCACCUGUAGGGGGAUUGUCAAUUCUGCUUCCCUGUAGGCAGGAAUGGUUUCCUCAUAGGUCACUGGGAUAUUGGCCAGAAAAAGGGGAUGAAAAUCACAUGUUAAUUUCUCAAAAUUCCUGCUUUAAAUGUUGAUAUCCAUCAACAUAAUUUCAGCUGGAUAAUCUUAAUAGGAUGUCCUCCAAUACUGAUGUUGUAAAGCAUGUUGAAUGGAACAGGAACUCAAAUUUGGAGCUUCCUUUCUCUGAGGGUCCUUUCUCUGAGGGAGAUUGUGGCUGUGGCAGUGGCAAUCCCCAGGUGCAGAGGGUGGGUGGAGGCAGCCUCAGGAUGAGGGUUCUCAAGAAACCCCCUUACUCCACAAGGAGAAGGAGAAGAUCCCCUGUGAGCUCCAAUGGCAGUGGCCUGGGUGGAAUCCCUGCUAGGAACAUGCAGGAAGGCUGUGCAGCCUCACUAAAGCAGCAGGUUCUGGGGUGGAGCUGCAUUUCUAGGCGGGGGCAAUCACAGCCCAAGUGUAGGUCAUGGGGAGGGGUGGGCUCCUUGAGCAAGGGGGUCCCCAGCAUCAGGUCAGGUGCCGACUCCAUCCAGUCAUGUAUUUCCAUGUUGGUCCUUGUGAGCCCCAGGGCUUCCUGAUGGGAUCUCCAGUUAGAAGCUGCAUGCUUAGAGCCGGGAGGGGAGGAACGCUGAGCUGCCAGUGGAGGAAAGAACUCACAAUGUGCAGGGCCUGCCCUGGUGUGCAGUUGCCUCUGCAGAUGAGGAGGGCCUGGGGGCUGAGGUGGAGAAGGACCCUGUGUUUAUGUGACCGAGGCCUAGGACUGGAAGGACAUGUAGAUAGGGUCAGGGGCUCUCUUUGGAGAGGCCUCCCACUGUGUCAGGGCUGGUCAACCUUGAGAGGAAGAGUUUCCUCCUGGGUCUUUUCCUUUGUUCUGGGGUCCUUUCACUCACUGCACGAUGGGUGGUGGGUACAGGGGAAGUGCUUAUGUUGAUAGGAGUCAUGGUAGGGGGACUGGCAGGGGCUGGGAAAAGUACCAUGGGAGGGAGAAAAAAAAUGGGAAUGUCAUCUUCCCUCAGAGAAAGGGUGAAUUUAAUUUUGGAGUGACUGAGGAAGGAGAAGUCCUCAGGGAAUAAAAAGCAGCACUCUGCAUCCAGGGGAGCAUUUAUUGGUUUCUGUCUUUUCUCCAGAGUGUGUGAGACUACAAGGCCUGGAUCAGCACCCAGUUGGGACAGGAAGAACACCAGGGCACUGCACAGCUGGGAUUUCAGUACUCUGAUGUCAUCUCCUGGGUCCACUGGCUCCUACGCUCUGCAGCCAGGCAGCCUGGAUUCAGCUCCCUGCCUGGGUGUCACCAGCACUUUCACUUUUGGUGCCUCAGUUUCCUCAUCUAUGAAAUGGGGAAAUUAGUAGCAUUUAUUUCUUGUGGUUGGAUGAAUGAAAAGGGUGAUGCAGUGGCACCAGGAAUAGGGAUGGAAAUAAAAGUGCCAGAAACAGGAACUAUCCCUAAGCAAAAACCAUAACUAUAUUUUUAUACCUGUAUAUAAGAAUUCCCAAGCAACUCAAGGAUUGUGCUGUGCCUUCAUUUCAUCUGACAAAGUCAGGAUUAACUAAGACACCACCACAGCUACCCACUUCUGGAAGGUUCUGUACUCUGCAGAUCUGGUCCCCACAAGCUCUGUGUCCUGGAUUUGGUCCUCCCCAUCCCACUG